rnacentral:misc_RNA from 1 species
AAUAAUAAUUAUCAUGAAUCUUUGAUUUAUGGAAUUGGGCUUUUAUUUCGAUAGAUCUAUGGCCUUAAAUUUACGGGCUUGUCAUUAUAAAAUCUGACCUAAAGGAGCAAUUAAACAUUCUCUCAUUAGCGGAUUUUUACAAGCCGUUACGAUUUUUGGUUGUUUUCAGCACUUUUGCGAGCGCGAAACCAAGAUCGUAAGCUUACUCUA